rnacentral:rRNA from 1 species
CCCGAAACUUUUGGAUUAUAUAUCAUCUAGUUAGGAACAAAUUUUUUCCAGGGUUUUGUUAAAAAAAGAUGGAGAGAUAAGAAUAAAUAUUAUAGUCGGCAAAAGUUAUAUCUGGUUAGAAGAUUAAUAAUUUCUUUUUAAGAUGUGGGGUUCAAGUUUCACAUUUUAUAUAUAGGUAGGAUUAUAUAAUUAUUGUUUUAGAUGAGAAGUGUCUAUUAACUAAUAAGUAUUAUAACUGUAAUACGUUCUAUUUUAUACCUUAGUUAGAGUUUUCUAAAUCAACAUAUAAAUAUAUUGUUAGAAUAAGUAAAAUAAAUAAAUUCAUAAGAACUCAAUGUUUUUACAACUGUUUAUCAAAAACAUUUCCUUUAGUAAAUAUUUAAAGGUAUUACCUGCUCAAUGUUUAAAUAUAAAUUGCUGCGGUAUCUUAACUGCACUAAGGUAGCAUAAUUAAUUGUCUUUUAAAUGGUGACUUGUUUGAAUGGUUAUAUGAGAAAAGAAUUUUCUUUGAAUUAAUAUGAAAUUAUAUUCUUUGGUCAAAAUACCAAGAUAUAAAAGAAAGACGAGAAGACCCUGUUGAGUUUUACAAUACAUUUAUUGUUUAAUGGGAAAUUUGAUUUCAUUUUGAAAUCUAUUAGAUCCUAAAUUUUUUAUUUGGAAAUAGGAUAAAGUUACCACAGGGAUAACAGGAUAAUAUUGACUAAGAGUUCUAAUCGAAGUCUGUGAUUAUUACCUCGAUGUUGAAUCGAAAUAUCUAUUUAAUGCAGCAAUUAAAUAAGAGGGUCUGUUCGACCUUUGAAAUUUCACGUGAUUUGAGUUAAGACCGGCGUGAGCCAGGUCGGUUUCUAUCUUCUUUUGAAUCAGUUUUGUACGAAAGGAAUUGAUGAU